rnacentral:tRNA from 1 species
GCCGGGGUGCCCGAGUGGUCUAAGGGGCCGGCCUGGAGAGCCGGUGGGGGUAAUCCCCACGCGGGUUCAAAUCCCGCCCCCGGCGCCA